rnacentral:rRNA from 1 species
GAUGAACGCUGGCGGCGUGCCUAAUACAUGCAAGUCGAGCGAACAGACGAGGAGCUUGCUCCUCUGACGUUAGCGGCGGACGGGUGAGUAACACGUGGAUAACCUACCUAUAAGACUGGGAUAACUUCGGGAAACCGGAGCUAAUACCGGAUAAUAUAUUGAACCGCAUUGUUCAAUAGUGAAAGACGGUUUUGCUGUCACUUAUAGAUGGAUCCGCGCCGCAUUAGCUAGUUGGUAAGGUAACGGCUUACCAAGGCAACGAUGCGUAGCCGACCUGAGAGGGUGAUCGGCCACACUGGAACUGAGACACGGUCCAGACUCCUGCGGGAGGCAGCAGUAGGGAAUCUUCCGCAAGGGGCGAAAGCCUGACGGAGCAACGCCGCGUGAGUGAUGAAGGACUUCGGAUCGUAAAACUCUGUUAGUAGGGAAGAACAAAUGUGUAAGUAACUAUGCACGUAUUGACGGUACCUAAUCAGAAAGCCACGGCUAACUACGUG